rnacentral:lncRNA from 1 species
AUGUCCAGCAAUUCUUUGAAACCCUAUCAAGCCUUGAUGGGCAAUCUUCCCAGAAGGUACACAGCUCUGGACGUACCAACACUCUAUUUAAAAACCGGUAAGGUAGAGUGGAAGGCAGAGCUGAGUGAAACUGACACCUGGUAUUUGCUGGAGGUUUCUUUCUGGAAAGCUGACAGCACACCUCUGACCCUCUCCAAAAGGUCUGAUGUGAAAUAUUGCGACAAAGUUGGAAUCAAUUGGCAGGAUCUCCUGGAGGUUCCUGGGUACACUCCAUUUGAAAAAGCUGUGGUCAACAGCACUGAUUCUUAA